rnacentral:rRNA from 1 species
CACGUAGGCACCAAGCGUUGUCCGGAUUUAUUGGGCGUAAAGAGCUCGUAGGCGGUUCAGUAAGUCGGGUGUGAAACUUUGGGCUUAACCCAAAGCGUGCAUCCGAUACUGCUGUGACUUGAGUUCGGUAGGGGAGUGGGGAAUUCCUAGUGUAGCGGUGAAAUGCGCAGAUAUUAGGAGGAACACCGGUGGCCGAAGGCGCCACUCUGGGCCGAAACUGACGCUGAGGAGCGAAAGCAUGGGUAGCAAACAGGG